GGGGGACGUCGCUAUGGGGCGCUAUGGGGAUGGGGAGGUUGCUAUGGGGAUGCGGUUGUUGCUAUGGUGACAGGGAUGUUGCUAUGGUGACAGGGAUGUUGCUAUGGGGCAUGGGGACGUCACUAUGGGGCACUAUGGGGAUGGAGACGCCACUAUGGGGCGCUAUGGGGAUGGGGAUGUCGCUAUGGGGAUGGGGAUGUUGCUAUGGGGCACAGGGAGGUCGACUAUGGGGCGCUAUGGGGCGGGGGGACGUCGCUAUGGGACGCUAUGGGGGGUGGAGAUGUCGCUAUGGGGAUGGGGAUGUUGCUAUGGGGAUGGGGAUGUCGCUAUGGGGAUGGGGCUGUUGCUAUGGGGAUGGGGACGUCGCUAUGGGGAUGGGGCUGUCGCUAUGGGGCAGGGGGCCGUCGCUAUGGGGCAGGGGGCCAUUGCUAUGGGGCAUAGAUAUGUCGCUAUGGGGACGGGGAUGUUGCUAUGGUGACAGGGAUGUUGCUAUAGGGACAAGGAUGUUGCUAUGGGGCAUAGAUAUGUCACUAUGGGGUUGGGGCCGUCGCUAUGGGGCAGGGGGACAUUGCUAUGGGGCAGGGGGCCAUUGCUAUGGGGCAGGGGCCUCGCACCAGGCACGGCGGGGGGCAUUGCUAUGGGGAUGGGGCCGUCGCUAUGGGGCAGGGGCCGUCGCUAUGGGGUUGGGGCUGCUGCUAUGGGGAUGGGGCUGUCGCUAUGGGGCAGGGGGACAUCGCUAUGGGGCACAGAGAUGUCGCUAUGGGGAUGGGGCUGUCGCUAUGGGGCAGGGGGCCGUCGCUAUGGGGCAGGGGCUGUCGCUAUGGGGCAGGGGGCCAUCGCUAUGGGGCAGGGGGCCGUCGCUAUGGGGCAUAGAUAUGUCGCUAUGGGGC
rnacentral:lncRNA from 1 species